ensembl:rRNA 5S_rRNA 5S ribosomal RNA
GUCUACGGCCAUGCCACCCUGAACAUACCCCAUCUCAUCUGAUCUCGGAAGCUAAGCAGGGUCGGGCUUGGUUAGUACUUGGAUGGGAGAUUACACUCUGAGGUACUGGGUUUUAGGAC